rnacentral:rRNA from 1 species
UGAAUACGAGACGCUAAGGCGUCGAAGUAGUGUAUGUCAUACUUCCAAGAAAAGCUUGCACUGUCAUAGAUAAAAAACGCCUGUACCAUAACCGACACAGGUGGGUAGGUAGAGUAUACUAAGGGGCACGAGAUAACUCUCUCUAAGGAACUCGGCAAAAUAACUCCGUAACUUCGGGAGAAGGAGUGCCUUAUUCGUAAGGUUGCAAUAACAAGAUCCAAGCAACUGUUUAUCAAAAACACAGGUCUCCGCUAAGUCGUAAGACGAUGUAUGGGGGCUGACGCCUGCCCAGUGCCAGAAGGUUAAAGAAGUUGGUUAGCAAUUGCGAAGCUGAUAACUGAAGCCCUGGUGAACGGCGGCCGUAACAAUAACGGUCCUAAGGUAGCGAAAUUCCUUGUCGGGUAAGUUCCGACCCGCACGAAAGGCGUAAUGAUUUGGAUACUGUCUCGGAGAGGGGCUCGGUGAAAUAGACUUGUCUGUGAAGAUGCGGACUACCUGCACCAGGACAGAAAGACCCUAUGAAGCUUUACUGUAACUUGAAAUUGAAAUUGGACUUUAUUCGCGCAGUAUAGGUGGGAGGCGUUGAUUAUAAUCUUGUGGGAUUAUUGGAGCCAUCAGUGAGAUACCACUCUUGUAAUGUUAGAUUUCUAACUUUGAAUCAUUAUCUGGUCAAAGAACAGUUUCAGGCGGGCAGUUUGACUGGGGCGGUCGCCUCCUAAACGGUAACGGAGGCGUACAAAGGUUUCCUCUGAACGGUUAGAAAUCGUAUCUAGAGUGUAAAGGCAUAAGGAAGCUUGACUGUGAGACCUACAAGUCGAGCAGGGACGAAAGUCGGUCUUAGUGAUCUGACGGUACUGAGUGGAAAGGCCGUCACUCAACGGAUAAAAGUUACUCUAAGGAUAACAGGCUGAUCUCCCCCAAGAGUUCACAUCGACGGGGAGGUUUGGCACCUCGAUGUCGGCUCAUCGCAUCCUGGGGCGGUAGUACGUCCCAAGGGUUGGGCUGUUCGCCCAUGAAAGCGGUACGCGAGCUGGGUUCAGAACGUCGUGAGACAGUUCGGUCCAUAUCCGGUGUAGGCGUUAGAAUAUUGAGAGGAGCCUUCUUUAGUACGAGAGGACCGAGAAGGACAUACCUCUGGUGUACCAGUUAUCGUGCCAACGGUAAACGCUGGGUAGCUAUGUAUGGAGUGGAUAACCGCUGAAAGCAUCUAAGUGGGAAGCCCACCUCAAGAUAAGUAUUCUCACC